UCGAGCUGUGUAUAGACACCGGGGGUGGUUGAGCUGUGUAUAGACACCGGGGGUGGUCGAGCUGUGUAAAGACACCAGGGGUGGUCGAGCUGUGUAUAGACACCGGGGGUGGUCGAGCUGUGUAUAGACACCAGGGGUGGUUGAGCUGUGUAUAGACACCGGGGGUGGUUGAGCUGUGUAUAGACACCGGGGGUGGUUGAGCUGUGUAAAACAGAGUGGAGACAACAGAAGAAGAGAAGUUCACUCAGGAACUGGCUAGUCAUAAAAUGGCAUGUUAAUGUGUGUGCAGACAUCUACAAGCAUGGGAGAAUGCGGAAAAAAACCUACAUAAAAGAAUCAUUAGUCAGAACUUGAGGGCGUUGGAACAGUGGAGUCGAAUAUCAUGUCAAAGAUAACAAAAUGUUAGUAAGUAGUUAAUUAGUGUGUAGUUAAUGAAUACAGAGCCCUUACUGUAGUCUUAACACACAGAAACCUGCCUCAGUAUUUAAAACACUGGAAGUCCCAUCUCUUCUGUUGUACAUAGACCAGAUGAAAAUAGGUGCCGUGGUAAUAUUCAACAGUGACCAGAAUGCAUAGACUUGUAGAAUCAUGGAAACGCUGCAUUAUAUUUGAUGUUGAAUCUGGACAACAAAUAUAAAAGGGGGCGGGCUCCCACAGCAGAGAUAGGAAGCACAGUGAAAAAAUAAACACCUUUUUCUUAGAGGUUAAAAGCAAAGUGGAAACCAGGCUGAGCCUCAAGAAACUGGUUCCCAUUUGAAGUCCAGUCAUUUGGUAGAACGAGGGGGAGAUGUACUGUAUGUUGUUACAAGAGGUGACCACGAGUAAAAAAAGGACCAGAGCAUGUGACAGGAAAAGGAAGUGGUUAGCUCAGAACAGGAAGUGGGCUUGUUUCUGUGUGGUGAGCUGACUAGUUGUCCGGUGGUGAGGACCCCAGUGGUCAGGAGGUGAAGAGUGGGCGUGGCCGGGGACAUCAGAGGGAGUUGUUAAGGGGGGCAAAGAGCCUGGUCAUAGCCUCUCCUUCUGCCCUCUCCUACUCCACAGAGAGCUGGCUCCAGACCGUCUUCCUGUCUCUCUCUCCACACUCCUUCCCUGGUCAUAACGCUCUCCCUCUUUCUUUCUCCAGAUCUCUCCGUUUUAUCUCUAGGUGUAAUGUUUUGGUCCCCUACAGAUCUAUCCAUUUUAUUUCUAGGUGUAAUGGUUUGGCUCCCUCCAGAUCUAUAUGUGGUAUCUCUAGGUGUAAUGGUUUGGCACCCUACAAAUCUAUCCGUUUUAUCUCUAUGUGUAAUGGUUUGGCCUCCUCCAGAUCUAUCCAUUUUAUCUCUAGGUGUAAUGAAUUGGUCUCAUCCAGAUCUAUCGGUUUUAUCUCUAGGUGUAAUGGUUUGGUCCCAUCCAGAUCUGUUUUAUCUCUAGGUGUAAUGGUUUGGUCUCAUCCAGAUCUAUCCGUUUUAUCUCUAGGUGUAAUGGUUUGGUCUCAUCCAGAUCUGUUUUAUCUCUAGGUGUAAUGGUUUGGUCUCAUCCAGAUCUAUCUGUUUUAUCUCUAGGUGUAAUGGUUUGGCACCCUCCCCAGCAUGCUGACUGCACCUGCAGGACAACAGAAUAGAGGGAGGGGAACCGCAGGAGGACCGUACAGCAACCAACAGGGGGGAGGUAGAGGUCUAGUUCUGUUUCUUGGACCCCUCGUCGCCGUAACUGGAGCCCGUCUUCUUUACCUCGGUGACACCGAUCAGGCGCCGGAUGGCUAUGGAGGCUGAAGAGGACCAAAAAGAAAAAAACAGAGAUGGACCAAAUCUCAAGAGGCAAAAAAACCCUCACAAAAUUAUAAUAUUUACUUACAUGUAACUUUGUUGUCAGGAACUAUACACAUUAGUCAACAUUUCAGUUACCUUCAUGUGUAUGUUGGAGUUAGCUACUGCAUAAAGCUCAUUGUUAUUGGAUCAAGGUCCCAGGCCAAGGUAACAGUGGAGAGGAAGUGCUUGCGGCUGUUGUGUACCCUCUACUCACCUACGAUGAGGAAGAGGCUGAAGCCGAGGAUGAGGAGGGGGGAGCCGCUGACCACCACCCCGCAGGCGAAGUUGAUGAGGGGUGAGAGCAGCAGGGCCGCCCAGAACAGGAAGUUGAGUAGCGUCCACAACCGGCGAGGAGGGGUGAUGGUUGGACCCGGGAAAGUGCCCUCUUUAUGGUAGUGCUCCUGCAAAGCAUCCUGGAGAGAGACAAUGUCAAGGAAAGAAAGCAUCUCUACAUUUAACACUAUUCAGUUAAACCACAAGCACCAAAAGAGCCUUACCUUCUCCUGGUAGAGUUUAUGAAGCCAGUUGGCACACUCCUCCUCAUCUUCUGGGAUCUCCUCUACAGGGAACCGCCUACAGGCCAGAGAAGAGGAGACGGCAGUCAACACAAUGCAGGAGAUAGCGGGGGGGGGGGGGGGCUGCUGUGGCAACAGAAUGCAGGAGAAUGAGCGUCUGCUGUGGCAACAGAAUGCAGGAGAAUGAGCGUCUGCUGUGGCAACAGAAUGCAGGGGAAUGAGCCUCUGCUGUGGCAGCAGAAUGCAGGAGAAUGAGCGUCUGCUGUGGCAACAGAAUGCAGGAGAAUGAGCGUCUGCUGUGGCAACAGAAUGCAGGAGAAUGAGCGUCUGCAUUCUCACCACCAGGGAGCAAACUGACUCAAGGUUCAGAUGGGGGUUCCUCAUACAGUAAAAGUAAGACUGGGCCAUAAAACAAGCAUCUGUUUUUUUGCCACACCAGGCUACUUUUCCCGUUGAACCUCACACAGGGCUCAUUCAUGCAGGGGAGGUGUCUUGAUCUGCCAUCUAAUAAAAAAGGCAAUGAAACAGAG